UACGAAGGGGGGCUAGCGUUGCUCGGAAUGACUGGGCGUAAAGGGUGCGUAGGCGGCGCGGUAAGUCGGGUGUGAAAUCUUGGAGCUUAACUCCGAAACUGCAUUCGAUACUGCCGUGCUUGAGGACUGGAGAGGAGACUGGAAUUUACGGUGUAGCGGUGAAAUGCGUAGAUAUCGUAAGGAAGACCAGUGGCGAAGGCGGGUCUCUGGACAGUUCCUGACGCUGAGGCACGAAGGCCAGGGGAGCAAACGGG
rnacentral:rRNA from 1 species